AAGUCGUAACAAGGUCUCCGUUGGUGAACCAGCGGAGGGAUCAUUAGCGAGUUCAGCUCUCUAAAACCAUUGUGAAAGUACCCACAGCGUUGCUUCGGCGGGGUAACUCCCGCCGGCAGUACCAAACUCCUGUAGUCAUUGUAUCUCUGAGUAAACUUUUAAUAAGUCAAAACUUUCAACAACGGAUCUCUUGGUUCUG
rnacentral:misc_RNA from 1 species